GACGAACGCUGGCGGCGUGCCUAAUACAUGCAAGUUGAGCGCUGAAGGUUGGUACUUGUACCAACUGGAUGAGCAGCGAACGGGUGAGUAACGCGUGGGGAAUCUGCCUUUGAGCGGGGGACAACAUUUGGAAACGAAUGCUAAUACCGCAUAAAAACUUUAAACACAAGUUUUAAGUUUGAAAGAUGCAAUUGCAUCACUCAAAGAUGAUCCCGCGUUGUAUUAGCUAGUUGGUGAGGUAAGGGCUCACCAAGGCGAUGAUACAUAGCCGACCUGAGAGGGUGAUCGGCCACAUUGGGGCUGAGACACGGCCCAAACUCCUACGGGAGGCAGCAGUAGGGAAUCUUCGGCAAUGGACGAAAGUCUGACCGAGCAACGCCGCGUGAGUGAAGAAGGUUUUCGGAUCGUAAAACUCUGUUGGUAGAGAAGAACGUUGGUGAGAGUGGAAAGCUCAUCAAGUGACGGUAACUACCCAGAAAGGGACGGCUAACUACGUG
rnacentral:rRNA from 1 species